rnacentral:misc_RNA from 1 species
AAGUCGUAACAAGGUCUCCGUUGGUGAACCAGCGGAGGGAUCAUUAAAAAAGAGAGUUUAACGACUCCUCAACCCUUGUGAACAUACCUAAAUCGUUGCUUCGGCGGGCAGCCCCAGGGCGGGGCCGCAGCCUGCCUAGCAGGCGCCCGCCGAAAGCGCUACAAACUCUUGUUUUACAGUAUCUCUGAGUCUAAAUACAAAUGAGUCAGAA